UGCAGUCGAGCGGUAAGGCCCUUCGGGGUACACGAGCGGCGAACGGGUGAGUAACACGUGAGCAACCUGCCCCUGACUCUGGGAUAAGCGGUGGAAACGCCGUCUAAUACCGGAUACGACCUUCCGCCUCAUGGUGGAGGGUGGAAAGUUUUUUCGGUCAGGGAUGGGCUCGCGGCCUAUCAGCUUGUUGGUGGGGUAACGGCCUACCAAGGCGAUUACGGGUAGCCGGCCUGAGAGGGCGACCGGCCACACUGGGACUGAGACACGGCCCAGACUCCUGCGGGAGGCAGCAGUGGGGAAUAUUGCGCAAUGGGCGAAAGCCUGACGCAGCGACGCCGCGUGGGGGAUGACGGCCUUCGGGUUGUAAACCUCUUUUACCACCAACGCAGGCUCCGGGUUCUCUCGGGGUUGACGGUAGGUGGGGAAUAAGGACCGGCUAACUACGUGCCAGCAGCCGCGGUAAUACGUAGGGUCCGAGCGUUGUCCGGAAUUAUUGGGCGUAAAGAGCUCGUAGGCGGCGUGUCGCGUCUGCUGUGAAAGACCGGGGCUUAACUCCGGUUCUGCAGUGGAUACGGGCAUGCUAGAGGUAGGUAGGGGAGACUGGAAUUCCUGGUGUAGCGGUGAAAUGCGCAGAUAUCAGGAGGAACACCGGUGGCGAAGGCGGGUCUCUGGGCCUUACCUGACGCUGAGGAGCGAAAGCAU
rnacentral:rRNA from 1 species